rnacentral:rRNA from 1 species
GACGUAGGGCGCGAGCGUUGUCCGGAUUUAUUGGGCGUAAAGAGCUCGUAGGCGGCUUGUCGCGUCGACUGUGAAAUCCCGCGGCUCAACUGCGGGUCUGCAGUCGAUACGGGCAGGCUAGAGUUCGGUAGGGGAGACUGGAAUUCCUGGUGUAGCGGUGAAAUGCGCAGAUAUCAGGAGGAACACCGAUGGCGAAGGCAGGUCUCUGGGCCGAUACUGACGCUGAGGCACGAAGGCCAGGGGAGCAAACGGG